rnacentral:lncRNA from 1 species
CGAGAUCCACAAGUCAAGUAAGUGUUCUAACACUACUCACGAAACAGUUUAAUGGGAAGUAAAAGCCAUGUGGUACACACGCUUUCAUUGGGUUCAUAGAAAGUAAUUAGCGGACUUGGGAAUAUUCAAUAGAGGAAAUAAUAUUGGCGUUACAUGUCGUGAACAUGUUUGAUCUUAUCAUCUUGGGGAUCAUCUGGUGAUUCUAGUGUAUCUUAUUUACCAUUGCAGGAUCACCAGAGUGGUCAGCAGCUAAGGAGAUGACCUCGGAAGCUGACCCUCUAAACCCAUAAUGACAUAAAAAAGAUCUCAGGCGGCUUCUUUCACUUAACGAUUUUCUACUUGUCUUAGUACGUUGAGUCAUGAAGCCUUUCCACUCAAACCCCAUAAUAUCUUGUUAGUUUUUUUUUUUGGAUCAAAAUAUCUCGUUAGCUAUAUUUGGAUUUUGUGCUUUCACCAGAUGUAGCCGACACAAAAAAAACAU